ensembl:ncRNA lncRNA:CR44603 long non-coding RNA:CR44603
CUCUCACAUAUACACACGCACUUACAUGAGGGUGUCACACACAUGCAGAGACACUCGAAAAAAAUGAGGACGGACGGACGUCGGCUGACGUUGCUGUGACAGCAGAGAUAACGCAAUAACAACAGCAGCAAUGCCAAUGCAUGUGGCAAGCAAAUGACCAGCAGCAGGACCUCCCUCACACACACAAACAUACAAGUAUACACACGCACGCAGGCAGGACGACCCGCUGAGCAUGUGAUCUAUGCCUAUCUGAUGUAUUUUAAUGGUGCUCACAUAUAUUUUUCAUUAUUGCCCUGGCUGCCUGUUGACCAGCAGGCAAACGCUGUAUGCAAACAAGAAGUGUAUCGACAGUAAAGUUACCCCUUGAUAGAUUAUAACAUACAUUUUCAUUAAGAACAAAUGUAAUUAAAACAUAGAUUGGGAAAAAGAACACAUUCAGAAGUUCAGACGUAGUAACUUCAAUUCUCGUUAGCCCCACUUUGCUCCGCCUUCGAUUUGCUUUCCCUCCAUCCACUCCUUUCACAUUACGUAUACGCAGUGUCCGUUUGCUCCCCCUGUAGCAUGGACCAACAAUUUAUUUCUAUACACCAGAGGCCGCGACUUUUUCCAGCUGCCAUGUGGAUGUGGAUGCAACGCAUUGGGGCCGCCGGCAAAAAGCCACCCGCACCCAAAUCCUGACCCAGUCCCAGUUCGAAUCCUAGCUGCGUAGCCUCUCGUCCUUUUUCCUGCCCAAUCCCUUUAGCUUUGCUUUUUUUUUUCGUCCUUUAUCUGGUCGUGCUGCGGCAUUUUGCGUGAUGAUAUGCGAUGGAGUUUGGGCGGAGACUCAUACGGGCAGAUAUUUUUUAUGGCCCGUGGAGAUUGCAAUUUGGAAAUCGAUAAAUUGCAAUUAAUUUAAUGGUCACAGCGACAAGCAGCCAAAGGAGCAAGGAAACAAUGCGGAUAUUAAAUAAAUCAUGAACGCUGCAGUGGAAUGUUGUGAUAUUAAAUUCACAGUUCUAACCUUAAAAGGAAAGCUACUGAAAGCAGGACAUCCACCUGAGUGGCCACAAAAAUGUGGUUGUCAUAGAAAGUGGCCAAAAAUUGGAGGAAGGACAACUAAUCAAAGAAGGCAAAAGCGAAGCUUGUGAAUUUAAUUGAAAUAUAUAUAAAAUCCAAACUUAAUCUGUAAUGCAGCUCAAGUCUGGAGGUCGCCAAGUUUUAAUUAAAAUUUCGCUGUGACCGGGAACAUAUUUCCCAAAUGCAGCAAUGAAAAAACACUUUCCACAUUCCUUAUUAUAGAAAAUUUACACCGUCGCUGGGUAUUUGCAUAAUUUCCACCACCCACACACCCACUCACUCACCGAAACCAGAUCGACUGGGAUUGCUGAUUAGCAGUCCCCAAACACCAUCCCCUUUCCAUUUUCCACCCCCUUUCGUUUUCCACCUUGGUAACUGCGGUCCAGCCGUCCAGCAUUUAAUUACCUUGGAGAAAAAACGUGGAAACCGAGCUACGGCGAGCUUCAGGUGAGGGAAAGGAAAAGCGGGCAAAACGACAGCGGCAACAACAAGGCAUAACCUAAUUUUCUCGAGUUUCCCAAGCAACGAGAUGUGGCCAGCCAAAGGGAAAAACCAACCAAAGUAGAGGGUCCGCCGCCUCGGCAUUCCAGAUUUGAAGCUCUGUUUUCUGGCCAAAUCUGUGAAACAGUGUGUUUUAGGGUGCUGAAAAUGCAAAUGCACCGAAUGAAUAUUCAACAGGAGUUGGUCUGUGUUUUUGGGAAAUGAAAUCAAACAAAAAGUGAUUGAAGGAAGUUCGCAUUGAAGGGAAAACAAAGGGAGGAUUAGAAGAAUGAUCAGUGAACAAUACAAAUCAGUGGAAGAGAUAAAAGGACAGGGAAUCAAAGCGUCGAUUAAUACAAAUCAGAAAGGUAUUGUCAUAUUAAUAUAAUUAUAUAGGAUAUAUGAGUGCAAAACUACAGGGAAUAAGCACUCGUAACCCUUGACCUUCUUUGGUGGAAUACCCACCCACACUCCCGAAAAACAAACGCACACAUUCAACUCUGCAUUAUGUCCUCGUGCUCUACGCACAACAAAGGACAACAACGGCGAACAACGAAAUAGAAACAAAAGCUACAAACAAUGAUUUUCAUGGUACGUAAAAUUAAUUAGGGCACUGAGACAAAAAUCCUCAAAUUUCAAUUGAGCCGCAGCCCGUUGUCGAUGGCCAGUGGGAGCGAAAGAGACGGCCGUUGCGUUGGAGAAAGAGAUGGGGAUAUGCACUGAAAACAAGGCGGCCCAACUAAAAAUACCAAGGAUCCAAGUGAGGGGGGAUUGAGUGAGGGGGCGGGGGCGGUGUAAGGAGCUGCUGGGAAACAUAAUUACUCUGCAUCUGUGUGAGUUUCUAUGUUGAUGUGCCUGUGCGUAGGCUGAGCACCCUGCACUGAGAGAAAUAGUAUGCAUAAAUCACUAUUGAACUUAAGAAACUCAUUACAUCAAGUUACUUUUAUGUUGCUUUGUUUUUUUUUAUGGAAGUAUCAAAUUACAUAUUUUGCCAUUAAACUAUAUGUACAUGAGUUUUUUCUCUGAGUGCACUGUCUUCUCAAUGCAAGCCGGCUCUGCUGCUCCUUGUGUUUCCUGUCUGCGUCCCUUCCCUGGCUACGAUUAUAUAAGCCUAAAAACUUGUACAUGGCAUUGGGGAUUUUCUAUGUGUUUGUGCGUCUGCAGUUGUGUUGGUGUUUGUUAUCAGCCCAAGAGCAAUUACAGCAGCAGCAGCAACAACAACCUAAGUCGCAGCAUCAAAGCUCGAGGGAAAAGCGAAAGGAAAAGCGAAGACUGCGGAAAACUCGCACAGCGUUUUCAGCUAAUAUAUAAUUACAAAUACAUUUAAUCCUGACGGUUUUUUAAUUGUCCUCGGUUUCGCAGAUGGAAGGGUUGAGAUCAAAAGGUGGAAAGGGGAAAAAGACAGCAGGCUGCGUUGUGAUUGACAUUUUACGUGAAACUGAAAGUGGAAAGUCGGGAAAAGCUGAACUGUCGGGUUGUCAGAUUGUUGAGGGGAGGUAACAUUGAAUGCCAGAGGCGAAAUGCAUAUUUGUACAAUUAAUUAAAGUAUAGCAUAUAAAUAAAUAGAAUUCCACAUAAAUAUUAAACUCACUAUAUAAAGGACACAAGCAUCUUAUAUUAACUAUAUUUUAAGUAAACUUUAAAAUCACAUUAUUUCCUACAUAAAUUUAGUGGAGCUACCAUUAAAGCUUUAAAAUUGCAAUUAAUUUUCGAGUUAACCAAGCCUACAACUCAUUCCGCUUGGCCGCAAGGAAGGCACUUUAUUAGAAAACCGUAGAAACUGUUUGGAAAAAAGCAAAGAUGGCGGCGGAGAGGAAACGGAAGUAGAUGAGGGAGAACUGACAACAUAAAACCUCAAACCUCAAAGAGAAUUUUCAGCGCUUCACGGAAACCAGAAAAAAAUCCCAAGCCAGGAAAAACUUUAAACUAACGCACACAAUCACACUCACAACUAUGCACUGCAGGAAAAGCCUGAGAAGGUGGGGAAAACACAGUCAAGAAGCAGCAGGCGACCCACAUUGAUAAAGGCGAAAAACAGCCGAAGGCGGAAAAUGCCAACAAAAAGAAAGCCGUGGGCCGGGGAAAAUGUUUUCGCUUUUCUUGCAUUUCCAGCAGAGGAAACAACAAAGACGGCCAACUACGCACUUUGCUGAAUAGCUGGCCUGCAACACGAGCAAGAAAAAGAAAAGAAAAAGGAAGAGAAAGAGAAAGAAGGGAAGUUGGCAGUUGGAGGACCAAGGAACCCAAACUUCUAUGUACCACAACUCCUACUCGCAGCGCUACAUAGUAUGUGCCACAUAGAGCAACCGAACCAAGAAAAACCGCAGUGGAGGCAACGUCACUCACAUAGCAGUGGAGAGAAUAUGCGUGAUACACUGCAAAAAAAUAAGUGAUUAAUGUUUUAUUGAUGAUCAUAUUGCCUACUACCAGGCGAAGUUUCUUCAAAAUAAUAUUAAGCAGGC